rnacentral:rRNA from 1 species
AUUGAACGCUGGCGGAAUGCUUUACACAUGCCAGUCGAACGGCAGCACGGGGGCAACCCUGGUGGCGAGUGGCGAACGGGUGAGUAAUACAUCGGAACGUGCCCGGUCGUGGGGGAUAACGUAGCGAAAGUUACGCUAAUACCGCAUACGAUCUGAGGAUGAAAGCGGGGGACCUUCGGGCCUCGCGCGAUCGGAGCGGCCGAUGUCGGAUUAGGUAGUUGGUGGGGUAAAGGCCUACCAAGCCGACGAUCUGUAGCUGGUCUGAGAGGACGACCAGCCACACUGGGACUGAGACACGGCCCAGACUCCUACGGGAGGCAGCAGUGGGGAAUUUUGGACAAUGGGCGCAAGCCUGAUCCAGCCAUGCCGCGUGCAGGACGAAGGCCUUCGGGUUGUAAACUGCUUUUGUAUGGAACGAAAAGGCUCUAGCUAAUACCUUGGGCUCAUGACGUUACCGUAAGAAUAAGCACCGGCUAACUACGUG